CAAUAGCGUAUAUUAAAGUUGUUGCGGUUAAAAAGCUCGUAGUUGGAUUUCUGCUGAGAACGACCGGUCCGCCCUCUGGGUGUGUAUCUGGCUCUUUCUUGGCAUCUUCUUGGUGAACGUUGCUGCACUUGACUGUGUGGAGCGCUACCCAGGACUUUUACUUUGAGGAAAUUAGAGUGUUUCAAGCAGGCAUACGCCUUGAAUACAUUAGCAUGGAAUAAUAAGAUAGGACCUCGGUUCUAUUUUGUUGGUUUCUAGAGCUGAGGUAAUGAUUAAUAGGGAUAGUUGGGGGCAUUCGUAUUUAACUGUCAGAGGUGAAAUUCUUGGAUUUGUUAGAGACGGACUACUGCGAAAGCAUUUGCCAAGGAUGUUUUCAUUGA
rnacentral:rRNA from 1 species